UCCCCUCUCUUUCUCCUCUUCACGCUAUACUCUCUCUCCUUCCAUAUAUCUCCCGAUCCUUUCUUCAUCCAGAGAGAGAGAGAGAGAGAGAGAGCGCAUGGCGUCGAAGGCUCAUCCGGUGCUUCCGAUCUAUACGGGCGCCACCGCAUCGACUCGUCCUCCCGCCGUCUCCACCACGGAAUCCCAACCUCAGUCGACUCUCGCCGUCGUUAGCCGCGUCGCUGAGUCAAUCCGUAGUGGCCUCUCCCGCCGGCGCCCGUGGACUGAGCUCGUCGACCGAUCCGCCUUCGCCAGGCCGGAGUCUCUAUCCGAUGCGGCGAAUCGGUUCCGGAAGAACUAUUCCUAUUUCAGGGUGAAUUACGCCUGCGUCGUCGCUUUGACUGUUGCUUUCUCUCUCUUCAACCAUCCUUUCUCUCUCUUCGUCCUCCUCUUCAUCGUCGCUUCCUGGAUGUUCCUCUAUCUCUUUCGCCCCUCCGAUCAGCCUCUCGUCCUGUUCGGCCGAACAUUCUCCGAGCGAGAGACUCUCGGUGGGCUUAUCCUCACGAGCAUCUUCCUGAUCUUCCUCACCAGCGUCGGAUCCGUGCUGAUAUCAGCUGUGAUGGUGGGAGUAGCAGCGGUCUGCGUCCAUGGCGCAUUUAGGGUUACGGAUGAUCUCUUCCUGGAAGAACAAGAUCCCGCAGCCAUGGGGUUCCUCUCCCUCCUUGGCGCCGGCGCAACCCCCGCUUAUCCGGCGCGUUCCGUCAUAUAAAACAGCUACGAUCUCUGAGGUUAUUGCAAUGUAGAGUGCCCGUGAAGGAAGGAAUUAGAUGGCACUGCCAUCAGAUUCAUCGCUAGUAAUUUUACUACUUUUGGUCAUCCCUCUGAGCGUCGCUUUCGUUUCUCGCCAUGGACAAUCUUCCUCUCGAUAGAAUCGCCAUAUCAGGUCCCACAUUGGCCCCUCUGCUCCAAUCUCUCCGACGACUCGCCGGCGGAACCGUUCUCGUCGAGUUCCUCCUCCGCCAUUUCGUCCUCUCAACUUGUCGCCACCGCCACCAGCUUUCUAUGCUCAGACAUGAGCGUCUCCUCUCCUUCUAUGAUCCGCUUGGCCGAGUCGACCGCCGCCGGAUCACCUGCUCGGCUGGUUUUCAUCGCGCCGGAAAACCGCUAAUCGACCCUCGAUGCGAGAAUUCGGCGUCGCAUCAUCUCUCUCAUCUCAAUUUUCCCUCCCGAUCGAGGAUUCCCAAAACCCUAAGACCACGAACUUGGCCUCGUGCGUGUUUUUCCUUUUCACCACGCCAUCGGCGCACCAAUUCAUCCACACGCACGAGUACCGGACGUACCAAUUGCGCUCCUCUAACCAGCGAUUGGAGUCGAAAUCGGUCAAUAUAGUCAAACAUCGGACCAGGGUUCCGUGGACAUUACGGUACGUUUGGCCCAAAUUCGGCAUUUCCGCUUUUGAACCGCGAACUGAGGAGCUUGCCCAUGAGCGAGGACCAAGACGAGGGGACCUUGAGCGCGAAGGAGCACGCGGCUAAGGAUCAGAAGGAAAUCAAUGCAUUAGCAGAAGGGUUUCAGGUGGGAAAUCUACGUCGUCUGAUGGGAGCCGAAGCUGCGAACUACACCGUCGGAUUGGAAGAAUUGUACGAAAGGAUGCUCAUCAAGAUGGAGAGCGUAGCUUGACAUGUUGAGAAGAGAUCGGCCAGGGUAUUUGAACAGGAAAAUCAAAAUAGGAAGUUGAGAUACAGGGUCGCCAGAAUGGAGCAAUGAAUUUCCUUUGGUUUGAUUUUUUUUGUGGUGUCAGGUGAUUUUUAUUGUCAUCUAGCAUUUAGUUGAAUGAAAUAGACAUGUGCGGAGGGUUUGUAUGGGUGCUGAGCGAUAGGGAAGUAAGACUUGAGCAGAAUUAUGGAGUGGGGAAUGUUAACCAGGGAGGAGAGGUGUUAGACUUGGUCAAGUAGAUAUGGCAUGGUUUGGUUUGGUUUAAGAAGAAGGAAGGUUAUUGUCCAUGGAACACUUUGAGAUUCAAAUGGGUUAACAUUACUAGACUAUCGAUACAGAGUUCUGUCCUGUUUAGUUAUCCAAUAGACCAAACUGAAGCUGACAUCUUAUCCCAGGAGUAGGGGUUGGUUGGAACGAUUCAUUGCAUCUAUUCUUCUACUAUAAGAUGUUGGUUCGUGGUAUGAUAGAAGAAGAUAGUUGGUUCUCACUAACGUUUUCUGCUGCAUUAGCAUAUAGAAAUCCUGAAGACCAAGAAUGAUCCAAGUGCAGAAAGGAAGAUGGUGAAUAAUAAGCGAUGGCUUUGAAUGACGGAUGGGAGCCCGGCCACCUCUUUUCAGUUUUCAGUGCCUACACCACAGUCGGUUGUUUCUGUGUGGAAGAUAAAAGAAGAGCUGUCUGAAUUUUUUAUGUAUUGGUCUCUGUUGGAUGAUGCGAGCGCCGAGACGUGAGACACUAAUCUCGAUGUUAGACAAGUAAUGUAUGCCUUGCUCCACAAGCUCAUUCUCGAAUGAAUUCCAAUUACUCGUAA